rnacentral:rRNA from 1 species
GACAGAGGUGCCGAGCGUUAGGCGGAAUCACUGGGCUUAAAGCGUGUGUAGGCGGGUCCGUAAGUACCUUGUGAAAUCCCACGGCUCAACCGUGGAACUGCUCGGUAUACUGCGGGUCUUGAGCCACCGUAGGGGCAAGCGGAACAACGGUGGAGCGGUGAAAUGCGUAGAUAUCGCUUGGAACGCCGACGGUGAAAACAGCUGCUGGGGGUGUGCUGACGCUGAGACACGAAAGCCAGGGGAGCAAACGGG